rnacentral:rRNA from 1 species
GAUGAACGCUGGCGGCGGGCCUAAUACAUGCAAGUCGAGCGAACAGACGAUGAGCUUUCUCCUCUACUGUUAGCGGCUGACGGGUGGGUAACACGUGGAUAACCUACCUAUAAUACGGGGAUAACUUCGUGAAACCGGAGCUAAUACCGGAUAACAUGUUGAACCGCAUGGUUCAACAGUGCAAGGCGGUCUUGCUGUCACUUAUAGAUGGAUCCGCGCCGCAUUAGCUAGUUGGUAAGGUAACGGCUUACCAAGGCAACGAUGCGUAGCCGACCUGAGAGGGUGAUCGGCCACACUGGAACUGAGACACGGUCCAGACUCCUACGGGAGGCAGCAGUAGGGAAUAUUCGGCAAUGGGCGAAAGCCUGACGCAGCAACGCCGCGUGAGUGAAGAAGGUCUUCGGAUCGUAAAACUCUGUUAUUAGGGAAGAAAAAAUGUGUAAGUAACUAUGCACGUCUUGACGGUACCUAAUCAGAAAGCCACGGCUAACUACGUG